UUCGGCCUUCUAUUGUCCUCCUCAACUGGUUCUCUCAAAUGAGUGUCUAACGUUCUACACUAGUAUUUGAUGCAGGCAAUCCCUGCUGGGAUGUUUCAUAAAUAAACAUCCAGCUAAGACCUUAACCAUUUACCAGGUGUUACAAUUCAUUGAUGUAUAAAUACAAUUCUGUUAAUAUCUUGUUAAUUAUAAUUUAAAAAAAGCAAUUUUAUAUUUCAGCUACAAACUGUUACAUUUUAUAUAUCUACGAUAUUUAGUCCUCUUACAUCAUAAACAUUAACAAGAAUUAAUUCAGAUAAUAGAAAUAAAAGAGAGGUAAAAACAAUAAAAAUUAUAAUAAUAAUUAUUUUGCAGAGUCCUUUUUAGGAAUAGAUCUAAUUUGUUAGAUGGGUUGCCAGAUGUUGAUGGAAAUUGGAAUCAUGAAUCUAUGAUUAAUAGAAUGGAGCCUUAUAGAGCAUAUAUUAGGAGCAAAUAUGUUAAGAAAUUCAAAUGGAUUUUAAUAAAUCAAGUUAAAAAGAGAGCAAUAAAGAAAAGUGAGACCUAUAAGGCUGUCAGAGACAUAGAGGUACCAGAUUGAGUGAGUAAUUUGUUAAAUAAAGGAUUGAAUUGUAUAGUCUCAGAAAAUAUUAAUUUCGACAAAAUUGCAAUGGAUUUAGAGCCUAUUUUGACAGAUGAUGUAACAGUGAAUGGGUUAAGAUGGAAAGUGGCUUUCAAAGUAAAGAGAGAGAAUAAUAGAUGCAAUAAGUGAACAAGUGAUGAUACCAUACUUGGGAAAAUAUGCCAGUGGCCAGAUAGAGAAGGCCUAGUAUGUAUGAGAGAUGAUAAAUGUAAGAAAAUCAUUUUUCUGAAGAAAGAGCAUUACAAUAGUAUACUUGAAGACUUCAUUAGAGAAAGUAUGUCUGAAGAAGUGGAUCAAGAUCUGACAAAUAAACUACAAAAGAAAGUUAUCAAACUAAAUAAGGACCUCAGACUCCUGAAAUUUCUCAGAUAUGCAGUUGUCCAGAUCCAUCCUGCCCUUGCCUGUUUGGUUUCCCUAAGUUACUUAAAACUCAAGUUAUAGCAAGACCCAUUUGUGAGAUUCUCAAGAUAUCAUGCUGAAACUUUUAUUUUAUUAUCUUUUUUUAUGAUUAUCAUUGAUAUUUUUUUUUAAAUACAGCACAUAUAUUUUUAUUCUAAUUGAUUAUAUUACUAUAUUAGUGAUUUAUAUUGUUAUUGUAUCAUUGAAUUAAUAUUAUAUUGUUUAAUUUUG
rnacentral:lncRNA from 1 species